GAAACUCAAAAACCUAAAUCGAAACCCUGCUGUCUCUCUUCCAUGAUUCCUACUGGAAACGAUACUUGAAGUAGGAUUUUUGCAAGAUUUCUCCUGCAAGAGUUGAUUUAUCUUCUCCUUCUGUCAAUUUCACCGUUAUUCAAACCAGAAAUAUCAAGAAAUCGGUAAGAGAUCCUCGGCCAAAAAAUAGAUCUCCGACCGGUCAUCAGUUCUAUUUCCUUGAGUUAGAUUCUUUAUCCAGAUGGGGAAGAAAUCUUGAAGGAAAUUCCUGACAUAUCAAUUAUGGAUUGAAUGAACUAGUACUCAAAUUCAAGGACUCUUUUUCGGCAGCAGAAGUUCAUGGCACCAGACUUAUUGUUGCAUUUGAUAGUUUACCUUCCGUUCUUGCAAGAAUUAGUACUUUUUUGUUUCCGUAAAAAAAACACAAUACUCUUUUGUGUUAACAGUACUACUAUCUUUUGUGUUAAAAUUUCUAGUUUCUGAACUUAGUAGUUUUAUUUGUUUUA